rnacentral:tRNA from 1 species
GCGGAUGUAGUGUAAUGGUAACACAUUAGCCUUCCAAGCUGAGGUCGUGGGUUCGAAUCCCAUCAUCCGCUCCA